UUCGAGUGGCGGACGGGUGAGUAACGCGUGGGUAACCUGCCUUACACAGGGGGAUAACACCUGGAAACAGGUGCUAAUACCGCAUAAGCGCACAGGGCCGCAUGGCCCGGUGUGAAAAACUCCGGUGGUGUAAGAUGGACCCGCGUCUGAUUAGCUUGUUGGCGGGGUAGAGGCCCACCAAGGCGACGAUCAGUAGCCGGCCUGAGAGGGUGGACGGCCACAUUGGGACUGAGACACGGCCCAAACUCCUACGGAAGGCAGCAG
rnacentral:rRNA from 1 species